UCUCCGUAGGUGAACCUGCGGAGGGAUCAUUACAGAGUUCUCGCCCUCGCGGGUCUAUCUCCCACCCACUGUUAUCUUUACUGGCGGUUCUUUUGCGGGCCGGCGGGUCGCCGGCCGCCGGCAUCUAAUAUGCGGCGCUGUCGGUCCAGUUGCCUUCGAACCCUGAAUGUUAUUGCCGCCUCAGUACUAUUCAAUAUUUAAAACUUUCAACAACCGACCGCUUGGUUCUGGCAUCGUUGAAGAACGCAGCACAUCGUAAGAGCACGCGUCUGAACUCCA
rnacentral:misc_RNA from 1 species